rnacentral:rRNA from 1 species
CGUACACUCCUACGGGAGGCAGCAGUGAGGAAUAUUGGACAAUGGGUGGAAGCCUGAUCCAGCCAUCCCGCGUGCAGGAAGACGGCCCUAUGGGUUGUAAACUGCUUUUAUCUGGGGAUAAACCUACUUACGUGUAAGUAGCUGAAGGUACCAGAAGAAUAAGCACCGGCUAACUCCGUGCCAGCAGCCGCGGUAAUACGGAGGGUGCAAGCGUUAUCCGGAUUUAUUGGGUUUAAAGGGUCCGUAGGCGGACUGAUAAGUCAGUGGUGAAAUCCGACAGCUUAACUGUCGAACUGCCAUUGAUACUGUUAGUCUUGAGUAAGGUUGAAGUGGCUGGAAUAAGUAGUGUAGCGGUGAAAUGCAUAGAUAUUACUUAGAACACCAAUUGCGAAGGCAGGUCACUAAGUCUUAACUGACGCUGAUGGACGAAAGCGUGGGGAGCGAACAGGAUUAGAAACCCCUGUAGUCC